AACACUAACUGGAGGACCGAACCCACCGUCUUUGAAAAGCCGGGGGAUGACUUGUGGAUAGGGGUGAAAGGCUAAUCAAACUUGGUGAUAGCUGGUUCUCCCCGAAAGCUAUUUAGGUAGCGCCUCGGACGAAUACCAUUGGGGGUAGAGCACUGUUUCGGCUAGGGGGUCAUCCCGACUUACCAAACCGAUGCAAACUCCGAAUACCAAUGAGUACUAUCCGGGAGACAGACUGCGGGUGCUAACGUCCGUAGUCAAGAGGAAAACAAUCCAGACCGCCAGCUAAGGCCCCAAAAUUAUAGUUAAGUGGGAAACGAUGUGGGA
rnacentral:rRNA from 1 species